CCUUGGGAUUAUGUUAGACUGCUUGGGUUAUAUUUUAUAGUAUCGAAGGCUGUCAACGUGUCAGCUAUUCUUUUCCCAUUAGAAUUUUCAAUCGUUUUUCUUUUUCUCUCUCUUCCAAUUCACUCCCUCUACUUCAUUUUACAGGGGUGGAGAACACCACUCUAUCAAGAACAAGAAAAAUGUAGCAAUUUUGUUUAAAAUGGGUUGACCUUGAAAGCAACCUGCUAUCUAUCGAUAGGCGAGAGCAUAUUGCUAUUGAUUGCUUCGCUUAUCUAUUCUAUUAUGGCCGGCUUGGAGACAUCAAAGGAAGACCAUUAUCUCUAUCCGGGAAUGAUGUCAUUCUUUCGUCUUUCGUUGAACCUUGGGGAUAACCAUUAGCAUUGGGGUAAAUCACCACCUCUAUCAUACAUACGACAUUACACGAAGUGAGAGUGCAUGGUCAACACACACCUAAAGCGCCUACGUUCCGCUUGCAGCUAAUACAACUAAAACCUAACUAACACGAGAUUAAACAAUCGAAGCUACUGGUAAUACUAAGGGGGAGACAUCCUCUUAUAAUAGUUUGUGAAUCACAAUGUAGAGAAAUAAGUUGGGCUGGAUGCCCUCACAGACAAAGAAAUAUUAGGCAAUAGGUUUCUCAAUCACUCAGCUUUUUACCUAGCUAAAUUCAAAGCUAUGAAUUUUGACUCCAUAGUGGAUCAGGCAAUGCUACUCUAUUGAUUAGACUUCCAUGAUAUAGCAACUUUACACAUAGUGAACACAUAUCUACUAGUUGAACUUCUCAUCUUUAUCCGUUACUCUUGUUUGCGUCACAAAAUCUACAUGAUAACCAACAUAGUUCAAUGCCAGUCUGAUAUUGCUAAAUUGUUCUAUAUGCUUUGUAUGCAUCACAAGAGAUAUACAGUAUAGAAAUAGCUCCAAGAAUUUAACUCACAAAAGCUCUUUUAUUCAUAGCCCUUCAACAGAAUAACAUUAAUGAAUUAAGAGAGCAUAGAAAGCAUUAUUUCUUCUGGGGUGUUUUUAGAGAGAGAGCCAAGAGAGGGGGCCAAAAUUCAAAAGUCGUUAACUUGAAGGGCUAGGGCCCUUUAUAUAGGUCCCUAGUCACUUAUCCAAUACCGUAUAAAUAUCUAAAAUACGUAUAACGGUAAUCCUAAUGUUUCCCUAUCAAGUACCCCCUAGUCUGUGUCCUAACGUCAAGUCAAUAAGGAAGGGUUUGGGCUGGAAAAAGUGGUCCAUAUAGCCGGUGAUGUACGCUGGUUGCCUCAUUAAAAACCUUAGACUAAUAAAAAACUCAGUGGGAAAAAAUCUGAGUUACGGAAAAAAGAGCAGUACCUUAAGCACAGUCUUUUGGACUAUAAGGGUCGACUGAACUCUACCGAUCUAGGGAUUAGAUUUGUGGUACGAUUGAGAGUUUGAAUUUUACCGGUCUAGUGAUCAAUUUCUACCAAUCAAGAGAUUGGAUUUACUCGGGGCUGAAUGCCGACCUUGCGGGCUGAAUUGCCUACCUCGUAAGACAUAAUGCCGGGAACUGGUCACGUGCUAACUGUGUCAGUGAUGGCGAUGCCGAUCUAAUCGGGCCUACAAUGUUGGUGGUGGUAGUGCCGACCUAACCAUACUUAAUUGCCUACUAUGUAGGGCUUAUGUCGAGAUAUGGUCUCGGGCUUACCGAGCCGAUGCUGGCGAUGCCGAUCUAAUCGGGUUUAUAGCGCCUGUGGUGGUAAUACCGACCUAACCUGACUUAUCUGUCUACCAUGUAAGACUUACGUCGAGAUAAGGUCUUGGGGUCAUCGUGCCGAGGGUGGCAAUGCCGACCUAAUCAGGGCUUAUAGCGUCGGUGGUGGCGAUUUCGACCUAACCGGACUUUAAUUGCUUACAUUGUAGAGCUUAAGCUGAGAUACGGUCUCGGUCUUAGAGGGCUGGUAAUGUCGAUCUAAUCAGACUCGUACACGACUAAUUUGCAUACAUGAUUGCUACAAUUUACAAAGCAAAGUAGACGAAGGUAAUUCUUCCUCAUUGGUGCAACGACAAUAGUUUUUUUUGACUUUUCGGUCGUAAUCGAUCUUAACGAUCGUAAAUGGGCACCUUGCUCCCCCAAAGAUCGGUCCGGUGACCAUAAACGGGCACCUUGCUCCUGUAGUGGGCACUUUGCUCCCACAAAGAUCGGUCCGUGGAUCAUAAACGAGCACCCUUUUCCCGUAGUGGGCACCUUGCUCCCACAAAGAUUGAUCCGAGAACCAUAAACGGACUUUACUCCCGCAUAACAGUCCGAGAACUGGUCAAAAAUGCCUAGUUCGUAGGAUUUAUGCCGAGAUUAAAUCUCAGGCUUGCAAUACCGGUGGUAGAUGGACUAACCUAACCGGACUUAAUACAUAUAUUCUGCUAUUACAAUUUUCUAAAAGUACAAGUUAAGACCUAUACAAUCUUCAAUCUAAAAUUAAAUUACAAAAUUUACAGACUAUAAACUUUUUUCUUAUCUUGAACUUGUAGUCACCACAAACUGCUAUUCAUGUUAAAUUAUAAUACCCAAAGGCCAAAGCUUUCCAUUUGAAAUAUCCCAUUAAAUUUCCCAUGCUCAUAAUCUACCACACCGACACUUCACAUCCACCGCCCAAAUCCACAUUUCUUAUUUCUUGCUUUCACAAUCCACCGCCAACCACCUCUAAUCAUCUUUUGCCUUUUGCUCUUUUCGCAUGCAACCACCCAUCAUUUCCUUUUCAUUUCACUUUUCAUUUUCCAUUAUAUAUUUUUUAUUUUAUCACAAAUUUCAUGGAAGAAAUAACAAAAUAAUAAAAUGAUUUAGAAAGGAAGUUGCCUUUCUCUUUGGAUCGUUGAAUCAGGCAAAGAAGGUCAGAAGACUAGAUGCACACAAGAUUGAGACCAUAGCAAAAAUUGCCAAACAACACCUUAAACAAGUACCAAAUUUUCUUGACAAAAAUCAAAAGUCAGGGAUCCAACUUCCACACUUAACAACGCCCUGAACAGAGACAGUCACGCAAUAGCGAACGAAAAUCCCUCUGAAAUGUACAUAUGCUGAUCAUUUAUGGUCUCCCACUGCAUGCAUGAACCAGCAACGGCUUGGAGGCGGUCCUGUUUGCGACAUGACUUCAUCUGGAGGGGGAGGCGUCGGCAAUGGCGGUGGUGCGACUGAUAGAGAAGAUGAAGGGACGGUGGCGGUGGGGGGUUGCAUCAGGCAGAGAGCGAAUUUUGAAGCAUUCCUUCAAAGCCUUUAGGAUUUGCAGAUUCAUUCUCCUUUGCAUUGCUUGAUAGCUCUGGGAAAAGACAAUUUGGGUACAGAACUGACGGUUUGAGGUCUCUUAGGAUCAAAGAGAAAGAGAGAUGAUAACAGGGAACUGGACCUUUCAUCGUGUUCCUGGAUUAUCGCCUGAAAAGUGAAAACAGAGUUGGUGCAAUAGUAAGUUGCUUGCUGCUUUGUCGGAAAAAAUGAGCGGCUUCUUCUACAAUCUUGAAUUUCUUGUCUCUCGGAACAAUCUAGUUCUGGGAGACUAGAAAGAAGAGAUAUCAGAGGUCGCCGGUCUUCACUUCCUCUUGCUUACUAACAUGCAGUUGCAACCACCAACAGGUAGAUCCGUCGGCUGGAUGGCGAGCAAUGGUGCAUGCAAGCCAUGAUAACAACAUCGUCUUGCAGCUUCUUCGUAGCCCAAGAAUUUAACCCCCAAUAGCCCUUUUAUUCAUAGCCCUUUAACAAUAUAGAGAGAAUAACAUUAAUGAAUCUAGAGAGCAUUUUUUAUUGCUUCUUGGGUGUUUUUAGAGAGAGAGCCAAGAGAGGGGGCCAAAAGUCAAAAGUUGUUACUUGAAGGGCUUAGGGCCCUUUAUAUAAGCCCCUAGUCACGUACCCAGUGCCGUAUAAAUAUCCAAAAUACGUAUAGCUGUAAUCCUAAGGUAUAUUCCCUAUCAUAGUCUAUUGUACCUCAAAAGUUUUAGAUUUAGUAUUUUUCACGUUUAACGGUUAGUAACUCCACUUUAGCUCGGCACCCCACAUUUUCACGUAUUUAAGGUUUGGAAUAUAACCUUUCCAUAAUUCAAAAUGGGUUCUGCCUAAUCUUUUCUUGGUACCCUUUAUUUAGUGCUAUUGGUAAACCCACUUUAGCUAGGCACCUCCACAUUUUCAAGUAUUUAAGGUUUGGAAUAUAAUCUUUCUAUAAUUCAAAACGGAUUUUGUGUCUAAUCUUUUGUGUGGUACCCUCCAACCUUUCCACAGUUUCACCCAACAUAUUGCUAAGCAAUCCAGAACUUAAAAGCAUUGCAUUUAUCAUAUCUUUUAAUGUUUUAUUUUCCCUUUGCAGGGCGCGUUGACGGAAAGGAAAUUGCACGUGUCAAAUGGAUCUGAGAAGAUGGUGUUUAUGUGUGUGCAACCAGCAAUGGUGGGGAUGACCAGAAUGUAGUUCAAGAUAGUACGGCCAGUGAAGAUUUUAGCUAGGAACAUGGACUUUGCCGUGGGAGUUGCAGCACAUGUUCGUUGACAACCAAUUUUAGUCUCACAAGAUCCUUGUUUUUUUUCUUUUACAUAACUUUUACCAAUUAAAGUAUGGUUAGCGGUUCUUGGCUUAGUAGUGAAUAGGGUGCGUUUUGUAAGGAAUACAUUAUAUGAUUCGACAAUUUUUGAUGAGUUUAUUACAGAUUUUUGUUUUGCACGCA